AGUGAACGCUGGCGGUAGGCCUAACACAUGCAAGUCGAACGGCAGCACAGUAAGAUCUUGCUCUUACGGGUGGCGAGUGGCGGACGGGUGAGGAAUACAUCGUAAUCUACUUUUUCGUGGGGGAUAACGUAGGUAAACUUACUCUAAUACCGCAUACGACCUACGGGUGAAAGCAGGGGAUCUUCGGACCUUGCGCGAUUGAAUGAGCCGAUGUCGGAUUAGCUAGUUGGCGGGGUAAAGGCCCACCAAGGCGACGAUCCGUAGCUGGUCUGAGAGGAUGAACAGCCACACUGGAACUGAGACACGGUCCAGACUCCUACGGGAGGCAGCAGUGGGGAAUAUUGGACAAUGGGCGGAAGCCUGAUCCAGCUAUACCGCGUGGGUGAAGAAGGCCUUCGGGUUGUAAAGCCCUUUUGUUGGGAAAGAAAAGCAGCAGGUUAAUACCCCGCUGUUCUGACGGUACCCAAAGAAUAAGCACCGGCUAACUUCGUG
rnacentral:rRNA from 1 species